UACGUAGGGUGCGAGCGUUGUCCGGAAUUACUGGGCGUAAAGCGCGUGUAGGCGGCUGCGUGUGUCGGGCGUGAAAUCCCAUGGCUCAACCAUGGAAGUGCACCCGAAACUGCGUAGCUAGAGUCCUGGAGAGGAAGGUGGAAUGCUUGGUGUAGAGGUGAAAUUCGUAGAUAUCAAGCGGAGCACCGGUGGCGAAGGCGGCCUUCUGGACAGUGACUGACGUUGAGACGCGAAAGCGUGGGGAGCAAACAGG
rnacentral:rRNA from 1 species